rnacentral:rRNA from 1 species
AUUGAACGCUGGCGGCAUGCCUAACACAUGCAAGUCGAACGGCAGCACAGCAGUAGCAAUACUGUGGGUGGCGAGUGGCGGACGGGUGAGGAAUACGUCGGAAUCUGCCCAGUCGUGGGGGAUAACUAGCCGAAAGGUUAGCUAAUACCGCAUACGACCGAGAGGUGAAAGCGGGGGACCGCAAGGCCUCGCGCGAUUGGAUGAGCCGACGUCGGAUUAGCUAGUUGGCGGGGUAAAGGCCCACCAAGGCGACGAUCCGUAGCUGGUCUGAGAGGAUGAUCAGCCACACUGGAACUGAGACACGGUCCAGACUCCUACGGGAGGCAGCAGUGGGGAAUAUUGGACAAUGGGCGCAAGCCUGAUCCAGCAAUGCCGCGUGUGUGAAGAAGGCCUCGGUUGGUUACAG